UACGUAGGGUGCAAGCGUUGUCCGGAAUUAUUGGGCGUAAAGAGCUCGUAGGCGGUCUGUUGCGUCGGCUGUGAAAACUCGGGGCUCAACCCCGAGCCUGCAGCCGAUACGAGCAGGCUAGAGUUCGGUAGGGGAGACUGGAAUUCCUGGUGUAGCGGUGAAAUGCGCAGAUAUCAGGAGGAACACCGGUGGCGAAGGCGGGUCUCUGGGCCGAUACUGACGCUGAGGAGCGAAAGCGUGGGGAGCGAACAGG
rnacentral:rRNA from 1 species